GAAACAGAAGUAUAUUAGUAUAUUAUUUGCAUAAAAAGCUCCCUUCUUAGUCACUGGUAUUUUUCAGUAUCAGGUAGUACUGUAUUUUGUCUUGAGAAUGAUCUGGAAUACAAAAAUCUUGUGAUUACUUUGCUCUAUUUCACAUUUUUCCUUACUGAAGAGUGAGUGGUUGCAGCAGCAUCCUGGGUCAGGCAUUUGAAGGGCUGGGGAAGUGGCAGGGCUUACCACCUGACUACCAUGAGGAUGAUGCAGAGAACCUUCCAGAACACCCACUUCUGCUUGUCACCAGGAUACUGCAGGAACUGAAGCCAGCCACAGUCAGGUGUUCUCUGCCCAGUCCUGCCACUGGCCUGGGGCCACUGUGGGGGUGACCCAGUGCAGCUGCUGUGAGGGCCUGCCACAGCACCUGAGGGAUGAUGGCCCACCCCUGGCAAGUGCAGUCCAGCUGGGACCACUGUGCUCACUGGUUGCUGUCCUCCCUGAGUGCCUCGGCCUUCCCUAUAGGACAGAAACUAUGCAUCUUGACUGUGAAGCUCUUCUGAGUGAAUCUAAUGUUGUCCCAGCCACAACUUGCAGCCAGACAUACUGUAUGUAAGAGUACUGUGUAUUUGGACCUUAUCUAGACAUACAAACCUGGAAGAAGAACAUCAGGUAGCAGAUAUCACACUGUUCCCUAUUCCUGAUUUCUAAGUUCUUGACAUUCAAACUGAAAUAGUAGUUUUGAAAUUCAUUUUUUCUCAAAAUUUAUGUAUCUGAAAAUUGUCCCAGAUGGUGAACAUCUGGCAUAAAAUCUUGACAUAGGUAUCUGUAGGCAUCUCAUUAAUGCAGUAUUUUUAUGGUCAUCUGUGUUUGUGAAUUCCUAUUCUCGGGGGUCUUUUAAGUUAGUAUAGCAUACAGGGCUGGAGUAUGUUUCUUCAUAGGUUAUUACUAAACAGUAUUAUCUAACCAUUUGAAAUCUUACUGGUAUGGAGAAAACAUCUUAUUAUUACCCUGCUAACUACAUAGCAUCUCGUCAGUUUUUAAAUUGUAAUUGUAAUGUGUGUAAUGUGAUUGUGUUAGUGUUGUAAGGAUGCCAGAUUUACCAAGCUACUUUAUGACAAGUACAAAGAAAUAGAUGUGUAUUAAAAGACUAAAACUUUUUCUGAAACAUGGUUAAGCUUUCCACUGUUAAACCAUCUCCAUUGUAAACUUCCUCAGAGGUCAGGAUUUGAGAUAUGAGCAGCUGUUUCAUUCCUGAAAUUUCCAGUAGGAAUUUAAGCCUAACAGAAC
rnacentral:lncRNA from 1 species